rnacentral:rRNA from 1 species
UACGGAGGGGGCUAGCGUUGUUCGGAAUUACUGGGCGUAAAGUGCACGUAGGCGGCUUUGUAAGUUAGAGGUGAAAGCCCAGGGCUCAACCCUGGAAUUGCCUUUAAGACUGCAUCGCUUGAACAUCGGAGAGGUAAGUGGAAUUCCGAGUGUAGAGGUGAAAUUCGUAGAUAUUCGGAAGAACACCAGUGGCGAAGGCGACUUACUGGACGAUUGUUGACGCUGAGGUGCGAAAGCGUGGGGAGCAAACAGG